AUGGCUUCUCAGGGGGUUCUGCUGCCUCUCAUACUGCUUUAUAUUCAGGGGAGUUGGGCAGAUAUUACACUGACACAAUCUCCAAAUUAUUUAAGUGCAAAUCCAGGAGACACAGUCACCAUGUCAUGUAAAUCCAGUACUGGUAUCAGCAACAUCUUAAACUGGUACCAACAGAAACCAGGACAACGUCCAACACUGAUUAUCUACUGGGCAACCAAUCUGCAGUCUGGAGCCCCAACCAGUUUCAGUGGAUCGUAUUCAGGAACAGAUUUCACUCUUAAGAUCAGCAACAUAAAGGAAGAAGAUGAAGCAAUGUAUCUCUGUCAGCAGAGUAACAGCUACCCUCUCACACAGCGAUACAGAGCCGUACAAAAACCUCCUUCCUCUUUUAUCAGCAAUGACAUUUCACAUCACAUAUAA